UAAAGGAGAAAAGAGUAGGAUAAAAAGCAGCAGAGAACAAAAGGGAAUAUAUGGAAACUUGUUAUAAAGAACAAAUGGGUAAGAAAAAGCUUUAAAUAUAUUCCUCUUGUGUUGGUUCACCACUUCGCACUUCACAUACUUUUGUGAAUUCAGUUUAUAGUUCUUUUUUUUGGGUUUAAGUAUGUUUCCUAGCUGUGCUACCGUUUUAAAUAAAGGAUUUAAGCUGUUCACAUAAAAAUAGGUUUGAGCCAAAGUUUUCUAUUUUCUAAUAUUUUCCGAACAUUUGUGAAAGAGAGAUAUAUUUUAACCUAUGUAUGGAAUCACCAGUUCACCACUGCCAUUCAUAUAUGAGAAAUGAUUCAAUAGUAUACGUUUUGGUACAUUUGCGGUAAUUUAGAAUCGUUGCCAAAAAAAACACGAAAUAUUCUUCCACCUUAUAUGUGUUCGAUUAAGAAAAAUAGAGAGAGAGAGUUUUUCUUUUUGGUAAUCAAGAGAGAGAGAGAGAGAGUUGAGAUUCAAAAAUAUAUCGAAGAAGCAUAUACGAGCUAGACAACAAGAUUUUUUAUAUUUGCAGUCGCACGAGAGAAAGACAGAGAGACAUACAGAUAACGAUUGAUCAAUUAUUUUUUUCUAAAUCGAAUUUUUAAAAGUUGUAUAAUUGUUCUAAAUUUAGUGGAUGCAAAAGAAAGAAAGAAAGGGAAUAUCUGAUUUGAUCGAUUACCAUAAACUAGGACUCUAGGACAGAUAUUCACUUAAAUAAUAUUGAAAUAAGUUUAGAGUCGCAGAAUCUUCCAACCGGGCUUUAGUGAAGUGACCAGGAAGGUAGAAAAUUCUUGCAUAUAAAUAUUUUAAACCUUUUCAAAGACAUUUUACGCUCCCGUUUUUAUAUAUGUAUUGCAUUGUCUUUCAUAUUUUAUAUGGGUUCCAUAAAAACCAAUGAACUAAUUUAGCAGACCUAACCAACUGGUUUUGGCCUGAUAGUAAAAAAGUUCCAGCUGAAGUUUCGAUUUUCCUUGGCUACUCAUAAAUGUUUUAAGUUGCAAAGUAAUCCAAAUUUCUAUGGACAUUUUAGUGAUUAAUCAUUGGGCAUAGAAAACUUUUGGGAUCAGCCAAGAUUGUCAAAAAAAAAAUUGGCAGACCUAAAGACUCAGUAGAUCUACGUUAACUCAGAUCAAUUUGAUUUUGAUGAUAUAUAGUUAAUUUUUUUUUAUGAUAUGUACGUUUUCAAGAGUUUUAUUAUGACAAUAUUCUAACCAAUUUUUAAAAUAUCAAAUAAAAACGCAAUAAUCAGUUUUCAUUAGGCAUGGGCACUAUUACUUGAUACCCGGCUUAUACUUGCUAUUUGACUCGGCUCGGUUUGAAAAAACAAGUACUUCCUACAAUCAAGUCGAGUAACAAGUAAAUGGAUUCUAUUACUCAUAGGUACAAGUCAUGUAACAAGUAUAUUGUUAUUUUUAGCUAUUAAGCUUGUUACUUAGUAUCUUCUACUUGUUCCUUUAUUGCGAUAUAUUAGUUAGUUUAUUAAAUAUUUGGUAUCUAGUCUAUUAGUUAAUUAAAAUUUGAUAUAUCAUAUGUCUAUCAAAACUAAAAGAAUUGUGCGUUUAAAUAUCAAUACCCAACAUUCCUAAUCUAUUGGGCUAGUACUAACUGAUUUAUUCCAACGAAAAUCUGACGUUUAUAUACAGAGCCGUAAAGGUAAAACUCUGUGUUUUAACUUCAAGUAAGUAAAAUAGGUUAAGUAACUGAAAAGAUCAAAUAUUAAAUCAAGUCAAGUAAAAGAUAAAAUUAAGUAAUAAACUAAGUAAAGUAAUUUACAAGUGUUACAAAAAUUUGCAGGUAGUUGAUACAGUGAGUACUUGUUCAGAACAAGUCAAAUACAUGUAACAUAUAUAACUACUUAACAAACCAAGUCGGGUAACAAGUACCUAAAAAUGCCGGAUACUUGACCCGUGCUCAGGCCUAGUUUUCAUUAUAAGUAUAACUAAGCAUAUACAAAAAAAAAAUCAAAGCAUAUACCGAAAAACUGCAAAAGUGAACAGAGUAGACCAUCACAAAAUCUCAAGUUGUGUAAUCAAACUAAUUGUGAUAUAAAUAAUAAUACUUUAAAAUAUAAAGAUGAACGGAACGGAACGUAACUUGGACUACUCGUAUCUUUUUCCACUUUUAGAGGCCGCAAAAUUAUAAAUUGAACUCUUUUAGUUUUGCGAAGCGACAAAGGAAAAAAAGUCUUUUGAAAAUGUAUAGUUUUUGACAUAAGUUUUAGUGACUUAGCUAUAUUCUUGUAUUUCUCUAUUAUUAGAUCGCUUGUUUGUGAAAAAUUAUUGCCUAAACUCUAAGUCACAUUAUAUCUUGUUUUCUAGAGGCGACGACCAAUCGGAGCAAUCAAACUGAACCAAAUUGAUCUGAUUUAAAAGAAAGAAAAAAACUGUGUUCAGUCCAAAAAAAAAAAAACUGUCUUUUAUUGCUUUAAACGUUCUAAGCACACUUUUGUUAAAAAAAACACACACACAUUUUUAUAUUAUUAUUUCAAUAUAGAAGUCUUGGAGUUUUUUUUUCGCUUAAUCUGAGGUAUUUCAGAUUUAGGCCCAGACUGAUCAAUAAAAAUAUAAAUUUACAUAUACAUUUCACCAAAUUCUCGAUUAAGUGUAUAGUUACAUAUAUGCAUAUCCUCACAUCCUCACGGAUUAAUUAAUAUGGAGGAUAAGUUUUCAACAUGGAUUGUUUACCUUCCUAAAGGCUCGAAUGGGUCUUACCAUUCGACCACACCCGCCAUGGUUAAGUCUUGAGUAUUUGCCGAAUCAUUGAAAUCAUUGGCUUUUGCUAAUGUUUUUCUCAAGUUUAAGUGGGUCAAAAACCAGGCCAGAUUAAUUAGCCGGGUCGUGGAUGUUCGUUCCAACCAAACUGGUCAGUUUAGAUUUCAAAACACUUAUUAAUAGAAAAUAUUAUAUAUUGAAAUCAAAGCAUAACAUUUAAAAAAGAAGAAGAAUAUAAGAAGAAGAAAAAUAAGAGUUGGAAGUAUUCGGGAGUCCUCCAGUUACAAAAAAAAAAAAGUAUUCGGGAGUCCUCCAGUUACAAAAAAAAAAAAAGUAUUCGGGAGUCCGUAUUUUCCCCGUAUUUAAUACAGACAAAGGGGAUAUUCAGACAGAAAUCAAAGUUGAGAAGUAAGUCGAAACGUGUCACGAGAGAAUAUCUUUUGUGCGUGCUUUGCAUGGGAUGCUAAAAAGGAAAUAUCUCUUUACUUUUCGACAGGAAAAAAUUCAUUCCCAAAAUAAAAGAAAAGAAAAGAAAAGAAAAAGAGAUAAUCAAAGUUGGAU